rnacentral:rRNA from 1 species
GACGAACGCUGGCGGCGUGCUUAACACAUGCAAGUCGAACGGAAAGGCCCUGCUUUUGUGGGGUGCUCGAGUGGCGAACGGGUGAGUAACACGUGAGUAACCUGCCCUUGACUUUGGGAUAACUUCAGGAAACUGGGGCUAAUACCGGAUAGGAGCUCCUGCUUCAUGUGGGGUGUUGGAAAGUUUCGGCGGUUGUGGAUGGACUCGCGGCCUAUCAGCUUGUUGGUGGGGUAGUGGCUUACCAAGGCUUUGAGGGGUAGCCGGCCUGAGAGGGUGACCGGCCACAUUGGACCUGAAAUACGGCCCAGACUCCUACGGGACGCAGCAGUGGAGAAUAUUACACAAUGGGCGGAAGCCUAAUGCAGCAACGCCGCGUGCGGGAUGACAGCAUUCGGGUUGUAAACCGCUUUCGCCUGUGACGAGGCGUUAGUGACGGUAAUGGGUAAAGAAGCACCGGCUAACUACGUG